AUGGACCUCAAAGCUGGGUUUCACCAGAUCAGGCUAGCCCCUGGAGAAGAGUACAAAACUGCAUUUCAAACACACCAUGGCCACUUUGAGUUUCUAGUAGUUGCCAUGGGUUUGACAGGAGCUCCAGCAACAUUUCAAGGGGCCAUCAAUUUUGAUCGGUCUCCCCUUCUCAGGAAGUGUGUGCUAUGUUUCUUUGAUGAUAUCUUAGUUUUCAGCAAAACAUUUGAAGAGCAUUUGGAACAUGUUGCACAGGUUCUGACAAUUCCGAAAGAAAAAGAAUGGAAAGUUAAAAUGUCCAAAUGUGCAUUUGCUCAACAG
rnacentral:rRNA from 1 species